ensembl:lncRNA
GCCCAUUGAGGUCCCAGGACUGAGGAUAUACCCAGCGGGAUUCAUUUUUAAAUGGUGAUUCUAGUGUUAUGUGUAAACAUCACACACAGCCUCCCACUCUAGCAGGGGGCUCUUGUAAAGGUAGGGAUGCAUGAUUAAAAAAAGAUGCAGGGAGAUCCUGGUUCGAUCCCAGGCUGUGCCGCAGCCGGCAGCGACCGGAAGACCCACGAGGCGGCGUACAAUUGGCCCAGUGUCGUCCGGGUUUGGGGAGGGUUUGGCCAGCCGUGAUGUCCUUGUGUCAUCGCGCUCUAGCGGCUCCUGUGGUGGCCCGGGUGCAUGCACGCUGACACGGUCGUCAGGUGUACAGUGUUUCAUUCAACACAUUGAUGCGGCUGGCUUCCAAGUCAAAUCAAGAAGCAGUGCAGCUUGGCGAGGUUGUGUUUCCGAGGAUGAACUGCUCUCUCCCGAGUCCGUAUGGGAGUUGUAGCGAUGGAACAAGACUAAUAAGGCUGUUACAAAAUGUGGGAAAGGGGAAGGGGUCUGUAUACUUUCCAAAUGCACUGACCCAGCAGCAGGAUGUUCCCAGGCUUGAUGUCGUGGUGGACCAGACCGUGCUCGUGGAUGAACUCCAGGGCACUGGUGAUCUGAAGGACACAGCGCUUCACAGCACACUCUGGGAUACCUACCUGGGAGCAGAGGAGUGCUCCUGGGCAAAGCCAUAGCGCUCAUUGGAUUGGAAGGCAAUUCCGAAGAGACCCACAAUGCAGGAGUGGCAGGACAGGUGCAAGGAG